UACACUCCUGCGGGAGGCAGCAGUGGGGAAUUUUGGACAAUGGGCGAAAGCCUGAUCCAGCAAUGCCGCGUGCAGGAUGAAGGCCUUCGGGUUGUAAACUGCUUUUGUACGGAACGAAAAAGCUCCUUCUAAUACAGGGGGCCCAUGACGGUACCGUAAGAAUAAGCACCGGCUAACUACGUGCCAGCAGCCGCGGUAAUACGUAGGGUGCGAGCGUUAAUCGGAAUUACUGGGCGUAAAGCGUGCGCAGGCGGUUAUGUAAGACAGAUGUGAAAUCCCCGGGCUCAACCUGGGAACUGCAUGUGUGACUGCAUGGCUAGAGUACGGUAGAGGGGGAUGGAAUUCCGCGUGUAGCAGUGAAAUGCGUAGAUAUGCGGAGGAACACCGAUGGCGAAGGCAAUCCCCUGGACCUGUACUGACGCUCAUGCACGAAAGCGUGGGGAGCAAACAGGAUUAGAUACCCUUGUAGUCCCA
rnacentral:rRNA from 1 species